rnacentral:rRNA from 1 species
GAUGAACGCUGGCGGCGUGCCUAAUACAUGCAAGUCGAGCGAACAGACGAGGAGCUUGCUCCUCUGACGUUAGCGGCGGACGGGUGAGUAACACGUGGAUAACCUACCUAUAAGACUGGGAUAACUUCGGGAAACCGGAGCUAAUACCGGAUAAUAUAUUGAACCGCAUGGUUCAAUAGUGAAAGACGGUUGUGCUGGAACUUAUAGAUGGAUCCGCGCCGCAUUAGCUAGUUGGUAAGGUAACGGCUUACCAAGGCAACGAUGCGUAGCCGACCUGAGAGGGUGAUCGGCCACACUGGAACUGAGACACGGUCCAGACUCCUACGGGAGGCAGCAGUAGGGAAUCUUCCGCAAUGGGCGAAAGCCUGACGGAGCAACGCCGCGUGAGUGAUGAAGGUCUUCGGAUCGUAAAACUCUGUUAUUAGGGAAGAACAAAUGUGUAAGUAACUAUGCACGUCUUGACGGUACCUAAUCAGAAAGCCACGGCUAACUACGUG